AAAUCAGUUUCAUCUCCUCCUCUUUUCCUUCAAAGCUCACGUGCUCUCUCUCUUCAACUACUCAUCUUCAUCUUUCUCUCUAGAAAAACAAACAGAACAAGCAACCCAUACAUACUCCAUCUUUCUCACUUUGUGUAAGUUUUAAGCUUUGCAUGUAGCAUCAAACAUUAACCCUUAAUCUUAGAAAUUAAUAGAAGAUGUUUGAAACUCCAAUCUUCCCUUUUUCCUUAGCUUGGCCGAAAUCCUCUCUCUCAUUGGUCAAGUUCAUCUAAUUCUUCAAUGAGACUAUGCAUGUGUCCAUUAAAGCUUCCUUCCACCAUUGUAUGUUGUUGGGUAAUCAAGGUAUAUGAGAGAAAUUCAACCUAUUCCUUUCCCCUUUGUUUCAUCAGAACCCUAAAUUAAAUUCCCUCACUAAAGUUCACGAGAGAAACUCAUCUUAGUCUUCUAUUCCCUAUUCCUUUUGAUUUGGUCGAAAUCCAAACAACAAGCCUAAACCCCAAACUCAGUUUCUUCAAAUUCAUAUUUGCAUGUGAAAGAUCCUACUCAAGUUCAAGCCUUUGGGUUACUAGGAAUCUAAGGUAAGAGGAAUCAAACUCAUCUUCUUUUCUUUCUUGGUUAUGUUAGACUCUAAGUCCUUCUUGGUGUAAUUGCAUGUUCCUAAUUACUGAACUUGGAGCACUUGGGAGGAGUUAAGAAUUGAUGGGUGAAAUAAGAAAACAAGAGGAAUUGGAAUGGCUGUGCAAAAAUCGUGUUUCUGGACAGGGUCUCACUAAAACGUAUUGAGUUCAGGAGACGCAUCUGAAGUUCAGGGUCUGAUGCAGAAUUUUGGGCUACGGGUUUGAAGUGUUGUGGCUGCAAUUUCUGUUUUUCAGCAAACUCCGGAUGUGUCAAUGGUACUGUUAAAGCAUCAAAUUCAGGUAAACAGGUUAAUCGGAGCAAGGACCAGGCAGGAACUGAUGAUCGAGGUUGAGCUUGGAUUAUCGGAUUAGAAGACUAUCGUCUUCUUCUUUGUUUUUUGUUAAUCUGUUAUUAAGAUUUCAGUCAUCAUUUCAACUGUGUUGUAUUGAUUAUCACAUUAUUCUCGUGAUAAUUUGUAAUUCGAUUAAUUAUUCUGUAAAUUUUAAUGUACUCAGAUUCAAUUAUUAAUAUCUCGACUAAAUAU